AACGAACGCUGGCGGCGUGGAUAAGACAUGCAAGUCGCGCGGAACAUUGCUGGUAGCAAUAUUAGCAAUGUUUAGCGGCAAACGGGUGCGUAACACGUAGCUCACCUACCUUCGAGUGGGGGAUAACUCCGAGAAAUCGGAAUUAAUACCGCAUGUGGUUGUAAGACCAAAGCCGGGGACCGUAAGGCCUGGCGCUUGAAGAUGGGGCUGCGGCCUAUCAGCUAGUUGGCGGGGAACGGCCCACCAAGGCGAUGACGGGUAGCUGGUCUGAGAGGACGACCAGCCACAGUGGAACUGAGACACGGUCCACACACCUACGGGUGGCAGCAGUCGAGGAUCUUGGACAAGUGGGCG
rnacentral:rRNA from 1 species